CGCGAAACCGGGCGAGCUACCAUGGGGCGUAUGUUAGUACGGCAUAUGUGGCACAAUAGUAAUAGAUCCUUUGGUAGGAGUGAGAGGCUACCAAGUCCGGUGAUAUCUCGAUAAUCUUAAAACGUAUUGAGUACACCGUCAGUUUAUUAGUGAUAAGGCUGAUAAAAAUUAUCUAAUUUGAUUAAUGGUACUAGCAUAGUUUAAACGCUGGUUCUCUAACUUAACAAAUAUUAGUAUCUGCUUGAUAGUAAACAAUAAAGAUUAAUACUAAAUAACAGUGAGUAUUUACAUUGUAAGUAUAAGUAACCUAGACACCGCUGAUGAACUCGGCAAUAUUUCUUUCACCUGUUUAUCAAAAACAUCGCCAGUAGGAGGUACUAUUGGUUGGUCCUGCUCAAUGUACCAUAAAUAGCCGCAGUACCCUGACUGUGCAAAGGUAGCAUAAUCAUUUGGCUAAUAAUUGGAGUCUCGUAUGAAUGGAUGCAUGGGGGAAAACUCUAUUGGUGGUGCUAACAGAAAUUGCUAAGCGGGUGCAAAUUCCCGCAGUUAAAUAAUAGACGAGAAGACCCUUGAAAUUUUUACAAAAAGAUAUCCUGAAUUUUUGUUGGGGCAACAUAGUAGCAUUUAACCUACAUUACUAUACACGUCAUCCUGUAGUUAGAUUAAAUUACUCUAGGGAUAACAGCGUAAUUCUAAAUGAGUUUGCGACCUCGAUGUUGGACUAGGAAGCAGAUGCUUAGAA
rnacentral:rRNA from 1 species